rnacentral:lncRNA from 1 species
UCUGGUUUUAGCUGGUCUUGCUGUUUCUGACUGUAGUUUGUCCUUCCUGCAAGCCUGUGUGUCAGUACUUCUGGGAGACCAGUUCUUUCUAGGAGGAAUUUGGGUAUGAAGAGCUGUAGCACAGGGUCAGCCCUGGGGUGCAGACAGAAACCAGAAGGAUCCUGUCCCUGGCUGUUCCUUGGUUCCUAUGUCUUGAUGGUUCUGGUUGGGUCCCUCUUGGUCCAGGAAUUUGAGCAGAAGUGGUGGUCUUACCUGUGCUCACAGGUGUGUUGGCACUCCAGGAAGACCAACUCUCCACUGACAGUAUUUGAGUAUGGAGAGCUGGGGCACAGGAUCAGCUCCUGGUGCAGACAGAAACUGAAUGGAUUCUCAGAGAAAUAUUUUUACUAACACCAGCAACUAUUUGUGAGUUUGGCUUUUGUGAAAAAUUGAACUGGAACACUUUCAUGAGCAGAAAGAAUCAACUCA